AAAAACGCAGUGCCAUUUCUGCUCGCCGACUUCUAUCAUACCUUCCAUACAAGGCAUGCAACUAAAGGAGGGACCUUCCUUUGGUGUGCCUCAACAUGGACCUUUUUCUCAAAGCAACCUGUCGUGGCCCUAAAAGUUUGCAUCUCUUUCCGCUAGUUCAAUUCAUUGGAAUAAAAGAUAAUGGGAAACGAAGUAUGUCAUUGCAAUAUGUGGAGGAUUCUCGAAUGUCCCCGUAAUAGGAACACAAGGUU
rnacentral:lncRNA from 1 species